rnacentral:rRNA from 1 species
UCCCUUAGUAACUGCGAGUGAAGAGGGAAAAGCUCAAAUUUAAAAUCUGGCAGUGCUUUGCUGUCCGAGUUGUAACCUAGAGAAGUGUAGCCUGUGCUGGACUGUGUACAAGUCUCCUGGAAUGGAGCAUCACAGAGGGUGAGAAUCCCGUCUUUGACAUGGACUGCCAGUACACCAUGGUUGUGCUCUCAACGAGUCGAGUUGUUUGGGAAUGCAGCUCUAAAUGGGUGGUAAAUUCCAUCUAAAGCUAAAUAUUGGCGAGAGACCGAUAGUGAACAAGUACCGUGAGGGAAAGAUGAAAAGAACUUUGGAAAGAGAGUUAAACAGUAUGUGAAAUUGUUGAAAGGGAAACGUUUGAAGUCAGUCUUGUUGGUUGGGGAUCAGUCCAACUUUGUUGGGUGUACUUCCUGACUGACAGGCCAACAUCAGUUUUGACCGUCAGAAAAAGGUGAACGGAAUGUGGCACCUUUGGGUGUGUUAUAGCUUUUCAUCAUAUAUGGCAGUUGGGACUGAGGAAUGCAGUGUGCCAAAAGGCUGGGUUUUUGACCACAUUCACACUGAGGAUGUUGGCAUAAUGGCUUUAAGCGACCCGUCUUGAAACACGGACCAAGGAGUCUAACAUGCAUGCGAGUGUUUGGGUGGAAAACCCUUACGCGUAAUGAAAGUGAAAGUUGAGAUCCCUGUCAUUGGGGAGCAUCGACGCCUGGACCAGAACUUUUGGGA